AUUGAACGCUGGCGGCAUGCCUAACACAUGCAAGUCGAACGGUAACAGGAAGAAGCUUGCUUCUUUGCUGACGAGUGGCGGACGGGUGAGUAAUGUCUGGGAAACUGCCUGAUGGAGGGGGAUAACUACUGGAAACGGUAGCUAAUACCGCAUAACGUCGCAAGACCAAAGAGGGGGACCUUCGGGCCUCUUGCCAUCGGAUGUGCCCAGAUGGGAUUAGCUAGUAGGUGGGGUAACGGCUCACCUAGGCGACGAUCCCUAGCUGGUCUGAGAGGAUGACCAGCCACACUGGAACUGAGACACGGUCCAGACUCCUACGGGAGGCAGCAGUGGGGAAUAUUGCACAAUGGGCGCAAGCCUGAUGCAGCCAUGCCGCGUGUAUGAAGAAGGCCUUCGGGUUGUAAAGUACUUUCAGCGGGGAGGAAGGGAGUAAAGUUAAUACCUUUACUCAUUGACGUUACCCGCAGAAGAAGCACCGGCUAACUCCGUG
rnacentral:rRNA from 1 species